CGCGUAGGUAACCUGCCUGGUAGCGGGGGAUAACUAUUGGAAACGAUAGCUAAUACCGCAUAAUAGCAGUUAUUGCAUGAUAACUGUUUGAAAGGUGCAAUUGCACCACUACCAGAUGGACCUGCGUUGUAUUAGCUAGUUGGUGGGGUAACGGCUCACCAAGGCGACGAUACAUAGCCGACCUGAGAGGGUGAUCGGCCACACUGGGACUGAGACACGGCCCAG
rnacentral:rRNA from 1 species